UCCGAAGGGUGCAAGCGUUAAUCGGAAUUACUGGGCGUAAAGCGUGCGUAGGCGGCCUUGUAAGUCGGAUGUGAAAGCCCCGGGCUCAACCUGGGAAUGGCAUUCGAGACUGCGGGGCUGGAGUUUGGGAGAGGGUGGUGGAAUUCCCGGUGUAGCGGUGAAAUGCGUAGAGAUCGGGAGGAACAUCAGUGGCGAAGGCGGCCACCUGGCCUAAAACUGACGCUGAGGCACGAAAGCGUGGGGAGAAAACAGG
rnacentral:rRNA from 1 species